AGAUUGUCAUUGAGGUAGAAGUUCUCCAGUCGCACAAGGUCCUGAAAGGCCUGGUCAUGGAUCACAUUGAUGCGGUUCUCUUGGAGGUUCAGGCUGCGGGAAAACACAAGACCAAGUGCUGAGAAGAAGAUGUGAACAACAUCCUACGAGGCUGGUAUCUUAAAAGGUAGAUGUGAGUCAGAUUCUCCAUGCCUCUGAUGGCUCCAGGGAUCCUGCGGAAGUUGUUUUGGAAGCAGAGUAACUCUUUCAGCAC